GUCUGGUAGGAAUCCCUGAGUUUGCAUGUUCUCUUUGUGUUUGCGUGGUUUUACUCCGGGUACUCUGGGUUUUCCCCACACUCCAAAGACAUGCUGGUAGGUUGUUGGCUCCUGUCUAAAGUGGCCCUUGUGUAUAUGCAUGUGAGAU